rnacentral:rRNA from 1 species
UACAGAGGGUGCGAGCGUUAAUCGGAAUUACUGGGCGUAAAGCGCGCGUAGGCGGCUUUGCAAGUCGGGUGUGAAAUCCCCAGGCUUAACCUGGGAACUGCAUUCGAGACUGCAUUGCUAGAGUAUGGGAGAGGGAAGUGGAAUUUCCGGUGUAGCGGUGAAAUGCGUAGAUAUCAGGAGGAACACCUGUGGUGUAGACAGCUUACUGGACCAUUUCUGACGCUGAGACACGAAAGCGUGGGUAGCAAACAGG